UUACGCUGCACGUGAUAUGAAUGAGGUAUAUAUAACCGAUCAACCUCGCACAUCUCUGAAGAGUCGAGUCUCUUGCUCCGUCAUAACCUAACGCAACUAACGUGGCAAUAUUUCGUCAACAAUAACUGCACAGCAUGUCGAUCGUCCGAUAAUUCUCGUUCAGAAUGGUACACCCUGACGAUACGCUCCGGAAAAAAUGCUGCAUACCCGUCGCAAGUCGCUGUUGAAAUUGUCAUUUUGCACACUGUACGUAAUCGGCAUUCUAAUAAUCGCUAAGCAAUUAUUUCGUGUCCGCAACAGUCCCCGAACUCGUGAAGAACAGUCUCCAUUCCGUCCGGGGGAUGACGAUAAUUCUCAAAGACAAAAAGAUGUGAACAUCGUAUUACGGACAUUACAAAUGGACAGAUACGAGCGACAGAUAUCAAAAUUGGAACAUAAUGUUGUAUCUGAACUUGGAGAAAAUGGAGAGCCUACUUAUUUAUAUGGAAAAGACAAGAUUCUCGGUGAAGCGGCACUUGCAAAAAAAGCGUUGAACGUCGUCCUCUCAAACAAGAUAUCAUUAACCAGAAAAUUGCCAGAUGUACGCAACCCACUAUGUAUGAAUAUUACGUACGACAAAUUAUUACCAAGUGCUAGCAUAAUAAUUAUUUUUUAUAAUGAACCAUGGAGCGUUUUAUUACGCACAGUACACAGUGUCUUGAGACGUUCUCCACCAAAGUUAUUAAAAGAAAUUAUUUUAGUAGACGACCAUAGUGAGGAAGAAGAACUUCAGGGACAAUUAAAUUAUUAUAUUUCGACGCGUUUACCUGUCAAAGUAAAACUAUUAAGAUUACCAUAUAGACAAGGACUGAUACGUGCUCGUCUUCAUGGUGCAAAAAAUGCUGUAGGUGAUGUUCUUGUCUUUCUGGAUGCGCAUUGCGAAGUUAUUAAAGACUGGUUACAACCUCUACUACAGCGAAUAAAGGAUAAUAGAAGUGCUGUAUUAAUGCCAAUAAUUGAUAACAUUUCUGAGGAGACAUUAGAAUACUUCCACGAUAACGAAGCAUUUUUCUUUCAAGUUGGUGGUUUUACAUGGUCGGGACAUUUUACGUGGAUAAAUAUUCAGAAAAGCGAAAUUGAAUCGCGUGUUUCUCCCAUAUCACCAACUAGGUCUCCUACCAUGGCAGGCGGUCUAUUUGCUAUUAAUAAAAAAUAUUUUUGGGAAAUUGGUAGUUAUGAUGAUGAGAUGGAUGGUUGGGGAGGUGAAAACUUGGAGAUGUCUUUCAGAAUUUGGCAAUGCGGUGGUACAUUAGAAAUCAUUCCUUGUUCCCGAGUUGGCCAUAUAUUUCGAAAUUUCCAUCCAUACAAAUUUCCAAAUGAUAAAGAUACUCAUGGAAUAAAUACUGCUCGUUUAGCAUUUGUAUGGAUGGACGAAUAUAAAAGAUUAUUUUUACUUCAUCGUAGCGAGUUCAAGGACAAUCCGAAACUGAUUGGAGAUAUAAGCAAACGUUUGGAAUUGCGGAAGAAGCUCAAGUGUAAAAGUUUCAAAUGGUAUCUCGAUAAUAUUUAUCCAGAAAAAUUCAUCCCUGAUGAAAAUGCGAUAGCUUAUGGUCGUGUCAGAUUGCGCAAUCGACGACUAUGUUUAGACAAUCUACAACAUGAUGAAGAUAAACCGUACAAUUUAGGUUUAUAUAAUUGUCAUACUAAGUUAUAUCCAAGUCAGCAAAUCUGGUGAAUUACGGAGAGAAGAUAUCUGUGGGAGAAUAUUGGAUAAUGAUUCAAAAUCAUAUGCACAAAUUCAAAUGUCUGAUUGCAAUAAUGAAAAAGAUGGAAAGGAAUGGAUAUUAACAAAGGAUGGCAGAAUAAUAAACGUAGAAACUGGUCUUUGUC
rnacentral:misc_RNA from 1 species